AUUGAACGCUGGCGGCAGGCCUUACACAUGCAAGUCGAACGGCAGAACGGGGCUAGCCCCUGUAUUGAGCGGCGGACGGGUGAGUAAUGCCUAGGAACCUGCCUGGUCGUGGGGGAUAACGUCCGGAAACUUACGCUAAUACCGCAUACGUUCUGAGGGUGAAAGUGGGGGACCUUCGGACCUCGCGCGAUCAGAUGAGCCUAUGUCGGAUUAGCUAGUUGGUGGGGUAAAGGCCUACCAAGCCGACGAUCCGUAACUGGUCUGAGAGGACGAUCAGUCACACUGGAACUGAGACACGGUCCAGACUCCUACGGGAGGCAGCAGUGGGGAAUAUUGGACAAUGGGCGCAAGCCUGAUCCAGCCAUGCCGCGUGUAGGACGAAGGUCUUCGGAUUGUAAACUACUUUUAGUUGGGACGAAGGGCAGUAAGUUAAUACCUUGCUGUUAUGACGUUACCAAAAGAAUAAGCACCGGCUAACUUCGUG
rnacentral:rRNA from 1 species